rnacentral:rRNA from 1 species
GACAGAGGUGCCAAGCGUUAGGCGGAAUCACUGGGCUUAAAGCGCGUGUAGGCGGCCCUGUAAGUCGGGUGUGAAAUCCCACGGCUCAACCGUGGAAGUGCAUUCGAAACUACAGGGCUAGAGUUCUGGAGAGGAAGGUGGAAUGCUUGGUGUAGAGGUGAAAUUCGUAGAUAUCAAGCGGAACACCGGUGGCGAAGGCGGCCUUCUGGACAGUAACUGACGCUGAGACGCGAAAGCGUGGGGAGCAAACAGG